GACGAACGCUGGCGGCGUGCUUAACACAUGCAAGUCGAACGAAGUGGCGAACGGGUGAGUAACGCGUAAUCAACCUCCCCUUCAGAGGGGGACAACAGUUGGAAACGAAUGCUAAUACCGCAUACUGAAGGAGGGGAUUGCGUCGGAUUAGUUAGUUGGAGGGGUAACGGCCCACCAAGGCGAUGAUCAGUAGCCGGUCUGAGAGGAUGAACGGCCACAUUGGGACUGAGACACGGCCCAGACUCCUACGGGAGGCAGCAGUGGGGAAUCUUCCGAAAUGGACGAAAGUCUGACGGAGCAACGCCGCGUGAGUGAUGACGGCCUUCGGGUUGGAAAGCUCUGGUAAUCGGGACGCGGGACCGGAAUAGAAAGCCACGGCUAACUCCGUGCCAGCAGCCGCGGUAAUAC
rnacentral:rRNA from 1 species